AGCUCCAAUAGCGUAUAUUAAAGUUGUUGCGGUUAAAAAGCUCGUAGUUGGAUUUCUGUUGAGGACGACCGGUCCGCCCUCUGGGUGAGCAUCUGGCUCGGCCUUGGCAUCUUCUUGGUGAACGUAGCUGCACUUGACUGUGUGGUACGGUAACCAGGACUUUUACUUUGAGGAAAUUAGAGUGUUUCAAGCAGGCAUACGCCUUGAAUACAUUAGCAUGGAAUAAUAAGAUAGGACCUCGGUUCUAUUUUGUUGGUUUCUAGAGCUGAGGUAAUGAUUAAUAGGGAUAGUUGGGGGCAUUCGUAUUUAACUGUCAGAGGUGAAAUUCUUGGAUUUGUUAAAGACGAACUACUGCGAAAGCAUUUGCCAAGGAUGUUUUCAUUG
rnacentral:rRNA from 1 species